GACGAACGCUGGCGGCGUGCUUAACACAUGCAAGUCGAACGGAAAGGCCCUGCUUGCAGGGUACUCGAGUGGCGAACGGGUGAGUAACACGUGGGUGAUCUGCCCUGCACUUCGGGAUAAGCUUGGGAAACUGGGUCUAAUACCGGAUAGGAGCCAUCUUUAGUGUGGUGGUUGGAAAGUUUUUUCGGUGUAGGAUGAGCUCGCGGCCUAUCAGCUUGUUGGUGGGGUAAUGGCCUACCAAGGCGGCGACGGGUAACCGGCCUGAGAGGGUGUACGGCCACAUUGGGACUGAGCUACGGCCCAGACUCCUACGGGAGGCAGCAGUGGGGAAUAUUGCACAAUGGGCGCAAGCCUGAUGCAGCGACGCCGCGUGGGGGAUGAAGGCCUUCGGGUUGUAAACUCCUUUCGCUAGGGACGAAGCUUUUUUGUGACGGUACCUAGAUAAGAAGCACCGGCUAACUACGUG
rnacentral:rRNA from 1 species